UACCCUAAAAGACAUAUUUCAGGACAAGUCAAAUGAUUCACAAUACAAAGCCUGUAACCCAUAUUGCCUCCAAAGCUAUUAUCCAAACAAACCACUGUGGAGUCAUGGGUGCAGCCUCGCUUACCAAACAGUGAAAUCAUUCACUGGAGAAUUUGCAUAUGGAAUACAGAUAAACUGCACAGAGGAGACGCACAGGCUGAGAUUGACAGGGAGCUGCAGUCUGGAUACUUCACGAUGGGGACCGUCUGGAUGGUGGACAGAUGCUGCUGGACUCUGCUGAUGCAAUUAUGAGCAUUCCUGGGCAAUCUGCACGUACAGGUGUGGACUCCGAGCUGCACACUGACUGCCUCGUGAAACUCACACGGCUUCUGCCACGGGAUGUGUGAAGGCUGAGCAGAUGAAUAUGAAAACCCAGUCUGUACAAAAUUCAACUCAACAACACAAGAAGGGCCUCCAGGUAUGCUCCACAACUCGAAAGAGCGGGAAGAAACACAGGGGGAAGCUCUUCAAGACAGGCAAGGGCAAGGGCUCUCUGAAGAAGACAUCAGUCACCCAGGAAAUGGUAUCCAGAAUUGACAAGUAAGGCUCUGUGAAAUCAGAAAGACUUCUGCAGAGCACAGGGAAUAACAGCAGACAGACCGCAGAUGGAGGCAAGGCUUUGCUCAUUACACACCCUACGGAAGACUGACACCCGACAUACACCAGGAACAGUUGCUGCAAACGGUCUGAGAAGUCACCAAGGAAACCUUGAGGAGAGAACUGUUUCAAAUUUCACUGGUUGAAGUCGAAGUGAGAAAACAUAGGACAGUCAUCAGUAGAGACAGCCAGAGAUAUGGAGACCACACAGAAGCAGAAGCAGAUUCUGAAACAAGGAUUUGUGGGAGGGUUCCCACAAAAGAAGACAUCCUCUCCCAGCACCAGAGACAUCUGAGUUUGAACUGGGCCAAGGGACAAUUGCUCAGUCUUCCAUGUGAGAUAAAGGCUACACUGACUACCAGAACUUUUGGUUCCAGCAUCAGAACCUAGAUUUGUUUAGGAGCAGGACUUGAAAGCAUUGUGUUUCUUCUUGGAAGCUACACACUGUAUGGCUGGGCCCAGAGAACAGAGUGGGGCACUCAAGGGCAGGCUGUCAAGACAAAUGUUUCACCAUCAGAGACUUCCCAAGAGAAAGGGAUAGAUGAGCAAAACAACAGAAUGGGGGAGCAAUUAUGAAAACUGUCACAGUCCAUUGAAGGCAAACUGAAAAUAGCUAGAGGAGAGAACCAUGUCGGGUCAAGAAAAAGGCAGAACUUCUUACCAGGAAUCGUGCAAACAGGAGACAAAAGAUAAUGAUCUGAUAACCCAGUGCCUGGCAUCCAUUAAAAUAACUCUUCCAAAAAGAAGGAGAAACAAGACUUUCUUUGAAGCAAAAAUGAAGGCAGUAUGAAGCAAACAGACUUGAUUCUUAGGGGGUUUUAAAAAGAUUUUGAGAAAGAAGGAACAUUAUUGACAUAUGCCAAUCAGAUCUAGUUAGAAAGAGAGGCCAGUAAAGAAAAAGUUAACCCAUG